rnacentral:rRNA from 1 species
GAUGAACGCUGGCGGCGUGCCUAAUACAUGCAAGUCGAGCGAACGGACGAGAAGCUUGCUUCUCUGAUGUUAGCGGCGGACGGGUGAGUAACACGUGGAUAACCUACCUAUAAGACUGGGAUAACUUCGGGAAACCGGAGCUAAUACCGGAUAAUAUUUUGAACCGCAUGGUUCAAAAGUGAAAGACGGUCUUGCUGUCACUUAUAGAUGGAUCCGCGCUGCAUUAGCUAGUUGGUAAGGUAACGGCUUACCAAGGCAACGAUGCAUAGCCGACCUGAGAGGGUGAUCGGCCACACUGGAACUGAGACACGGUCCAGACUCCUACGGGGGGCAGCAGUAGGGAAUCUUCCGCAAUGGGCGAAAGCCUGACGGAGCAACGCCGCGUGAGUGAUGAAGGUCUUCGGAUCGUAAAACUCUGUUAUUAGGGAAGAACAUAUGUGUAAGUAACUGUGCACAUCUUGACGGUACCUAAUUAGAAAGCCACGGCUAACUACGUG